rnacentral:rRNA from 1 species
UACGUAGGGGGGCAAGCGUUGUCCGGAAUCAUUGGGCGUAAAGAGCGUGUAGGCGGCCCGGUAAGUCCGCUGUGAAAGUCCAGGGCUCAACCCUGGGAUGCCGGUGGAUACUGUCGGGCUCGAGUCCGGAAGAGGAGUGUGGAAUUCCUGGUGUAGCGGUGAAAUGCGCAGAUAUCAGGAGGAACACCGGUGGUGCAGACGGCUCUCGUGGGACGGUACUGACGCUGAGACGCGAAAGCGUGGGGAGCGAUCCGG